rnacentral:rRNA from 1 species
AUGGAGAACGAGAUGACGGCAAGAGUCAAGCAGCACCUCAAGGCAGCGAGGCGCCGGGGCAUCGAUAUGACGGCAGUAGUCAUGGAGCACCUCACGGCAGCGACGCGCCGUGGCAUUACUCUUUCUCUACGCUUGGAGGACUAUGUCUUGACGCUUCUUUUUCACGUGAUGAUUGAGUGGGUGCGAGUCCGCAUCGUGGAGGCGAUGAAGAACGAGACGACGACAAGAAUCAUGAAGCGCCUCAAGGCAGCCGCGAUGGAGAACGAGACGACGACAAGAAUCAUGAAGCGCCUCAAGGCAGCCGCGAUGGAGAACGAGACGACGGCGAUACUCAUUGAACACCUCAAGGCAGCGGUGAUGGAGAACGAGACGACAGCGAGACUCGUUGAACACCUCAAGGCAGCGGCACGCCGGAUCGAUGGUCUUUAUCUACUUUUGGAGCAACAAGUCUUGACGGUUCUCUUUUUGGCGUUGAUUGAGUUGGCGAUGUACCUUUUAAUGGGAAAAGUCGCCCAAGAAGGCCACUCCAUCUUCAGCAUUUUGUGUUUUAUCUACCUCGCUAGCUUACUACUUAGGUACGCAAUUCAUUCAUGGAUGGAUCGAAAAAGGGUGUAG